rnacentral:tRNA from 1 species
AAAAUAAGUAUGAACAAUUAAAAAUUUCUAAUUUUUAUUUAUUUUAUGGUUUAAAUCCAUUUUUAUUUUU